CUUUUGUACCUCCAAGACCCGAUUAUAGCCGGCCUUUUGCUUGCGUUCCUUACCCUUAUGCUGAUCCAAGCUUCGUUGGCAUGCUGGCUGCGUAUGGGUCACAUGCAAUUGUAUGUAUUAUUGAGCAUGUUCUUCCUUUCAGUUGUCUAAUUUUUUUUUAUAUUAGUUGCAGCUCAAUCAGUAUUUUAAUAGAAUGGACAAAAGUUGGAUAAAUAAGUCGAGAUCCAGUGCCGAACCAAGAAAAUUUGCAGUCUCAGCUUACGAAUAUUUCAUCUUUGUUACAACGAUUUCUCCCUUCUCAGAUUUCUGAUACUUCAAAUGCUCGCAGAGAUGAUGAUGAUGGAGCUGAAUCCCGUCCCUGAUACUUUGUAAAUUAUUUUUUU